rnacentral:rRNA from 1 species
AUACGGAGGAUCCGAGCGUUAUCCGGAUUUAUUGGGUUUAAAGGGAGCGUAGGUGGAUUGUUAAGUCAGUUGUGAAAGUUUGCGGCUCAACCGUAAAAUUGCAGUUGAAACUGGCAGUCUUGAGUACCGUAGAGGUGGGCGGAAUUCGUGGUGUUGCGGGUGAAUGCUUAGAUAUCACGAAGAACUCCGAUUGCGAAGGCAGCUCACUAGACUGUUACUGACACUGAUGCUCGAAAGUGUGGGUAUCAAACAGGAUUAGAUACCCUGGUAGUCCACACAGUAAACGAUGAAUACUCGCUGUUUGCGAUAUACAGUAAGCGGCCAAGCGAAAGCAUUAAGUAUUCCACCUGGGGAGUACGCCGGCAACGGUGAAACUUAAAGGAAUUGACGGGG